AGCCAUGCAUGUCUAAGUACGAGCCGUGUUUACAUGGCGAGACCGCGGACGGCUCAUUAAAUCAGUCGUGGUCCAAAUGGGCCAGUGCUUAUCUUACUUGGAUAACUGUGGUAAUUCCAGAGCUAAUACAUGCAACUCAUACCCCGACGGCCUCGCUCUUGUAGGGAGUGUCCUGACGGGUGCUUUUAUUAGACCAAACCGCUGAGGGCGUGUGCGUCUUUCGGGCCGUCACGUCUGACUCGUUUAAUGGUGACUCUGGAUAACCUUCUUUGACAAGCGCACGUACCCCUCUUUUGAGUGGGACGGCGCUGCCACUUUCGAGUGUCUGCCUUAUCAGCUAUCAACCGUUCGUUACGUGCGACCGAUGGCUUUGACGGGUAACGGGGAAUCAGGGUUCGAUUCCGGAGAGGCAGCCUGAGAGACGGCUACCACGUCCAAGGACGGCAGCAGGCGCGCAAAUUACCCAAUCCCAGCAACUGGGGGAGGUAGUGACGAAAUCUAACGAUGCGGGCGCCCUUUCUAGGGCCCCGCAAUCGGAAUGAGC
rnacentral:rRNA from 1 species